rnacentral:lncRNA from 1 species
UUUCGGGGUCUUUGAUCGGACCGAGACGAAAAGUGGCCGAAUUUGGGUGUACUAAUUGCUGGGGCGUGGUUUCGUUAGUUAGAGCAGAGGCCGUCGAUUCGAAAUAAAAUCUGUGGGCAAUGGGACCAAUGGGCUCAUCAUUUCCUUCCUUAUGGGCGUCCAGGUGCUCUGAUCCAUCUUCAUUUACUCACUCCUAGUAAAUAAUUAAAUAAAUCAACAAAAUUAUUUUUUUCCCCAACUUUUUCAUUCAGUUUGGUUAUCAAGAGUCUUCGAAUUAAGCUCGAUUCGAGUUAAAAAAUUUGAACUUGAGUUCAAGCUCAUCAAAUUCGAGGUUAAGUUCGAUUUUGUUUUGCAUUAUUUGAGCUCGUGCUCAUCAACCCCAAAUCAAACUUAAAUUGAAUUCAAUCGAGUUUAAUCGAAUUUAAGAAGUAUAAAUUUAUAUAAUUUUAAACAAUGGACAAAAUAGACAUUUCAUUCUAAUAAAAAAAAUUAAAAUAUAUAUAUGUGAAACUCAAUUAAAACUCAAUUAAGCUCGACAAACUUUUGAGUUUUAUAUAUUUAACUCAAACUCGACUCAUUAAGUAGGUCGAAUUUAGUUAACACAAGUUCAAGUUCGAGCUUUAACCGAGCAACCUUGCAAGUUACUUGAUUAAAUUUGACUCAUUUGCACCCCUAAAUAGGACACUCGUUAAAAGGGAUCCGGAUUUAUUAGUUUUUUUUUUCUAAAUGUAUAGCUAAUUUUAAAAAUAUUGCAAUAUAAGGCAUGCAAUAAUUGAGAUUGUGUGUAUUCACAUGCUAAGUUUUAUGGAUUUGAUACAUCUUGGUUUUUGGUACGAAAGAAUGCUAAUGCUUAAAUAAAACUUAUUUGCAUUUUUCCUUAUCUGUAGUCCAAAUUUUCCCCAUUUGGUAUUUUUUUUUUCCCUUCUUGCUUUGUUCUUAAUCGUGAUAGGAUAUCCUUACCUAUAUACUGUCAAAUCCUUACCAUAUCUUGAGUACUUCUUGCUGUCCAGACGAUCACUUAUUUUAAACAUUUUAUUACUGUAAGAUGAAUACAGCACUUAUUUUGAGGCAAUUUAUAGUAACUCUUGUGUAAGAUGUUCUUUAUUUGAAGAAAGGCUUUUAUUUAAGAUGGUGAAAGUUGAAAAUUGCAGGCAGCAACAGAUAAAUGAUCUUGAGGUUCCCAAGAAGAAGCUAGAGGAAAUUACUCACACCUCCACAAUCACUUGUAAAUUAACCCGGAAAUAAUCCAUUGCAAGAGAUUUGUCAUCCCAUUUGUCCAUAUUGGCUUCUGAUUAUGUUUGAUAAAACAGAGUCCACGUUCGUUGUUGGAUCCCAGGGAAAAAGGAAUCUGU